AGCGGCAGCGCGGGGCAACCUGGCGGCGAGCGGCGAACGGGUGAGUAAUGGAUAGGAACGUGUCCGGGAGUGGGGGAUAACUAGCCGAAAGGUUAGCUAAUACCGCAUAUUCUCUGAGGAGGAAAGCAGGGGACCGCAAGGCCUUGCGCUUCUGGAGUGGCCUAUCUCCGAUUAGCUAGUUGGUGAGGUAAAGGCUUACCAAGGCGACGAUCGGUAGCUGGUCUGAGAGGAUGAUCAGCCACACUGGGACUGAGACACGGCCCAGACUCCUACGGGAGGCAGCAGUGGGGAAUUUUGGACAAUGGGGGCAACCCUGAUCCAGCCAUGCCGCGUGCGGGAAGAAGGCCUUCGGGUUGUAAACCGCUUUUAUCUGGAAAGAAGGAGUGAGGGUUAAUACCCCUCAUGACGGACGGUACUGGAUGAAUAAGCACCGGCUAACUACGUGCCAGCAGCCGCGGUAAUACGUAGGGUGCGAGCGUUA
rnacentral:rRNA from 1 species